UACGUAGGGGGCUAGCGUUAUCCGGAAUUACUGGGCGUAAAGGGUGCGUAGGUGGUCUUUUAAGUCUGAUGUGAAAGCCUUCGGCUUAACCGGAGUAGUGCAUUGGAAACUGGGAGACUUGAGUGCAGAAGAGGAGAGUGGAACUCCAUGUGUAGCGGUGAAAUGCGUAGAUAUAUGGAAGAACACCAGUGGCGAAAGCGGCUCUCUGGUCUGUAACUGACGCUGAGGUUCGAAAGCGUGGGUAGCAAACAGG
rnacentral:rRNA from 1 species